GUUAUACCGCAUAAUAUCUGUGGAUUAAAGGUGGCUUAGGCUGCCGCAGAUGGAUGAGCCUGCGUUGGAUUAGCUAGUUGGUGGGGUAAGGGCCUACCAAGGCUACGAUCCAUAGCUGAUUUGAGAGGAUGAUCAGCCACAUUGGGACUGAGACACGGCCCAAACUCCUACGGGAGGCAGCAGUGGGGAAUAUUGGACAAUGGGGGAAACCCUGAUCCAGCAAUGCCAUGUGUGUGAAGAAGGCUCUAGGGUUGUAAAGCACUUUAGUUGGGGAGGAAAGCCUAUGAGUUAAUAGCUUGUAGGAAGGACGUUACCCAAAGAAUAAGGACCGGCUAACUCCGUGCCAGCAGCCGCGGUAAUACGGGGGGUCCGAGCGUUAAUCGGAAUUACUGGGCGUAAAGGGUCUGUAGGUGGUUUGUUAAGUCAGAUGUGAAAGCCCAGGGCUCAACCUUGGAACUGCAUUUGAUACUGGCAAACUAGAGUAUGGUAGAGGAAUGGGGAAUUUCUGGUGUAGCGGUGAAAUGCGUAGAGAUCAGAAGGAACACCAAUGGCGAAGGCAACAUUCUGGACCAAUACUGACACUGAGGGACGAAAGCGUGGGGAUCAAACAGGAUUAGAUACCCUGGUAGUCCACGCUGUAAACGAUGAGUACUAGCUGUUGGAUUCGGUGUAAAGGAUCUAGUGGCGCAGCUAACGCGUUAAGUACUCCGCCUGGGGACUACGGCCGCAAGGCUAAAACUCAAAGGAAUUGACGGGGACCCGCACAAGCGGUGGAGCAUGUGGUUUAAUUCGAUGCAACGCGAAGAACCUUACCUGGUCUUGACAUCCUGCGAACUUUCUAGAGAUAGAUUGGUGCCUUCGGGAACGCAGUGACAGGUGCUGCACGGCUGUCGUCAGCUCGUGUUGUGAAAUGUUGGGUUAAGUCCCGCAACGAGCGCAACCCCUAUUGAUAGUUACCAUCAUUAAGUUGGGUACUCUAUUGAGACUGCCGCUGACAAGGCGGAGGAAGGUGGGGACGACGUCAAGUCAUCAUGGCCCUUACGACCAGGGCUACACACGUGCUACAAUGGGUAUUACAGAGGGCUGCGAAAGGUGCGAG
rnacentral:rRNA from 1 species